AAGUUGUUCACUUCAUAGUCAAAGGCUCGAAGCUUCACCAAUGGAGGCCGACACUUUUGAUCCUGAUUUAAUUCAUGCGAUCUUUAAGCAAAUAUGGACCAGAAGAUUUCUAGAGCGUGAAAGGAACGGUGGUAAUGAUGCUACGGACUGCGAGGUAGGAGCUGGGACAUCCAAGAAAAAUCGGCCCACUUCUGCUAAUGCAAAUGCGGUGAAGCUGAGUUGUGAACUUCUCCGAGUAUUUGUUACAGAGGCUGUGCAACGUGCUGCUGCAAUUGCCGAAGCGGAGGGUGUCAUUAAGGUUGAAGCCACUCAUUUGGAGAGGAUUCUUCCUCAGUUACUGCUGGAUUUUUGAGCUACAAUGUGGAUAAAUAAGCAGGCUAGAAGAAACUUGUUUGGGAGUUUACAAGUCUCUACCAUCCUGAACACUCUUUGCGAGACUGUCAAAGACUUAAAGGUGUAGAAGAUUAAGCUCUAUUAUCGUCAGAAUGAACUAUUGACCUUGGGGAUUGGUUUACUGCAAAGUGCCAGUGGAUUUUGCAAUAGUUCCUUUGCGAAAUGAAAGGCUUGAUGGUGAUGCCAUAGUAGUUGGCUAGUGUGAAGUGAUUAAUUAACCACUUUGGAAUCUGUAGAAGACCCUGCUAAAUUUCGCAGUCGUCCACCCUUUGAUGAAGAAAUGAACGUAAUAUUGAAGGGAACCAAUGACUUCUAAGCAUUAAAGGAGCGUGUAUGACCCGUGUUCGGUGUUUCUGUGUGCAGCUAUUUUCUUGGUCUUUGUAGUGCUACUUCUUUGUGACAAAAUGAUGAUACCUAUUUUACCAGUACACCAAAAAUUAAUUAUUUGGAAAGUCGGUGGUAUAGUUUAUUUAAUAAAACUUAUGAAAGUAGAAUUUGUAGU